GCUAGUACUGCAAGCUGCCCGGUUGCUAUCUUUCUAUAUAAAGUCCUCGCACCUUUUCUAACUAAAUGGCUCCUACUAUCUAAUUUAACCAUUUAUUAGCAUCAGUUGAGUAUAUUGCUGCCUACAUCCCUUCCCCCAAUCACACACACACACCCCGCGGGAAAAAGAAAAAAGUGAAAAAAACUUCCAUCCCUUCCCCCAAUCACACACACACACCCCGCGGGAAAAAGAAAAAAGUGAAAAAAACUUCCAUUUCCAACAUUUAUCAUUUGGGCUGUUGAUCAGAUCCACCGAUCGCCCCGUUGACUCUUUCCUUAAUCAACCAUGACUGAGAAGGUGACUACAAUGAAACUCACGGUUGAUCUUCAUUGCCCCAGCUGCUACAAGAAGGUCAAGAAAAUCCUCUGCAAAUUUCCUCGUGAGUCUCUUAUAACUAUCAAUUCUGUCUCUCAUGUUUUCAUUACCAGUAUACCAGUAGUUCUUUAGUGCAAUUACAGUUGGUCGGAGGACAUCCACCGUUCCGCUGACUACGGACAUAGGCAUGUGCACCACCAUGAGUUACAGUUUUUUUUUCCCACUUUUUGGGAUCAUUUUUUGAACAGAAGUUAGGUAGUGUGGCUUAUGAAACUACUGGUGAUCAGUUAGGGGCUUUAUUUUGUACAGACAAGAAUUUGAGUUUUUGUUUUUUUUUUUUGGGGACGCUCAAUUUUUUGGACGAGAGAAAUCCGAGACCAGGUAUAUGAUGAGAAGCAAAAUCUGGUGACCGUCACCGUGGUGUGCUGUAGCCCGGAGAAAAUCCGCGACAAAUUAUGUUGCAAGGGUGGCAAAGUUAUUACUAGCAUUGAGAUCGUGGAGCCCGGGGAGUCCCAGCGGCGGGAAAGCCCGAGCCGUGCUCUCACCCGCCAAUUCCAGUGGUGAUCUGCUGUGUCCUAUGUUCGGAAGGGUACCGAGGGGGACGAUGCUGCUGCAGGAACUGGCGGCCUGUGCCCCCGCACGCGUGCGGGUGCGGGUGCGGAUCCCGGUAUAGUCAUUGUGAUUAUUUCAGUGAGCAGAACACUGCGGACUGUACGAUUAUGUGAGAGGAGAGGAGAGGAGAAUUUGAUAUGGGGUAUGAUAUGCUAUGAAAAGCCCAAGCCGUGCUCGCACCCGCCAAUUCCAGUGGUGGUCUGCUGUGUCCUAUGUUCGGAAGGGCACGGAGGGGGGCCAUGCUGCUGCAGGUGCCGGCGGCCUGAGCCCCCGCCACGCUGUUGUCGCAGUUGUGGACAUGGGUGCGGGUGCGGGUGCCGGUAUAGUCAUUGUGAUUAUUUCAGUGAGGAGAACACUGCGGGCUGUACGAUUUUGUGAGAGGAGAGGAGAAUUUGAUAUGCUAUGAAAAGCAUCCAAAUUAAUCAAUUAAUUUGGUUUGGUGGGCGGUACAUGCAAAUGCAUUGAAGCAAAAUUAGUACUAGUAUUGUGUAGUUAGGGCCUUAGGCCCUCAUGGGACCUAUAAUAUAAAAGGAAGAAGAAAAUAAAAAGUUACUGUGUAUGCGAUUAUGGAGUGUAUAUAUAUAUAUAUAUAUAGACGUACGUGUGGGGAUUUAUUCAAGUUGGAAGUCACUUAGAAUAAACUUUUGUAUGUAUCUGAUGAAUAAGUUUUCUUAAGUGUCAAGUAAACUUUUGUAAAGAUGUUUGAGCCGUUGUCCAAAUAUUAUCAAUAAAAAUUUUCUAUCAUUU